CCUGCCACGCCCACCAAGCCAUGUCCACAGAACCGGUAGUAAAAAAAAUUUGAAUCCCACCACUGAGUUGUGGCCAAGCAAGAGAUGUUGAUCCAACUAUUCUUGUAGGUAGAUCUUACUUUAUGCCUUAGGAGAGAGUCAUCCAGUUCCAUGUAUGGAC